rnacentral:rRNA from 1 species
GUGCCAGCAGCCGCGGUAAUACGUAGGUGGCAAGCGUUGUCCGGAUUUAUUGGGCGUAAAGCGAGCGCAGGCGGUUUCUUAAGUCUGAUGUGAAAGCCUUCGGCUCAACCGAAGAAGUGCAUCGGAAACUGGGAAACUUGAGUGCAGAAGAGGACAGUGGAACUCCAUGUGUAGCGGUGAAAUGCGUAGAUAUAUGGAAGAACACCAGUGGCGAAGGCGGCUGUCUGGUCUGUAACUGACGCUGAGGCUCGAAAGCAUGGGUAGCAAACAGGAUUAGAUACCCUGGUAGUCCAUGCCGUAAACGAUGAGUGCUAGGUGUUGGAGGGUUUCCGCCCUUCAGUGCCGCAGCUAACGCAUUAAGCACUCCGCCUGGGGAGUACGACCGCAAGGUUGAAACUCAAAGGAAUUGACGGGGGCCCGCACAAGCGGUGGAGCAUGUGGUUUAAUUCGAAGCAACGCGAAGAACCUUACCAGGUCUUGACAUCCUUUGACCACUCUAGAGAUAGAGCUUUCCCUUCGGGGACAAAGUGACAGGUGGUGCAUGGUUGUCGUCAGCUCGUGUCGUGAGAUGUUGGGUUAAGUCCCGCAACGAGCGCAACCCUUAUUACUAGUUGCCAGCAUUUAGUUGGGCACUCUAGUGAGACUGCCGGUGACAAACCGGAGGAAGGUGGGGACGACGUCAAAUCAUCAUGCCCCUUAUGACCUGGGCUACACACGUGCUACAAUGGAUGGUACAACGAGUUGCGAGACCGCGAGGUUUAGCUAAUCUCUUAAAACCAUUUUCAGUUCGGAUUGUAGGCUGCAACUCGCCUACAUGAAGCCGGAAUCGUUAGUAAUCGCGGAUCAGCAUGCCGCGGUGAAUACGUUCCCGGGCCUUGCACACACCGCCCGU